rnacentral:rRNA from 1 species
GGAUCCAGACUUUGAUCAUGGCUCAGGACGAACGCUGGCGGCGUGCCUAAUACAUGCAAGUAGAACGCUGAAGAGAGGAGCUUGCUCUUCUUGGAUGAGUUGCGAACGGGUGAGUAACGCGUAGGUAACCUGCCUUGUAGCGGGGGAUAACUAUUGGAAACGAUAGCUAAUACCGCAUAACAAUGGAUGACUCAUGUCAUUUAUUUGAAAGGGGCAAAUGCUCCACUACAAGAUGGACCUGCGUUGUAUUAGCUAGUAGGUGAGGUAACGGCUCACCUAGGCGACGAUACAUAGCCGACCUGAGAGGGUGAUCGGCCACACUGGGACUGAGACACGGCCCAGACUCCUACGGGAGGCAGCAGUAGGGAAUCUUCGGCAAUGGGGGCAACCCUGACCGAGCAACGCCGCGUGAGUGAAGAAGGUUUUCGGAUCGUAAAGCUCUGUUGUAAGUCAAGAACGAGUGUGAGAGUGGAAAGUUCACACUGUGACGGUAGCUUACCAGAAAGGGACGGCUAACUACGUGCCAGCAGCCGCGGUAAUACGUAGGUCCCGAGCGUUGUCCGGAUUUAUUGGGCGUAAAGCGAGCGCAGGCGGUUUGAUAAGUCUGAAGUUAAAGGCUGUGGCUCAACCAUAGUUCGCUUUGGAAACUGUCAAACUUGAGUGCAGAAGGGGAGAGUGGAAUUCCAUGUGUAGCGGUGAAAUGCGUAGAUAUAUGGAGGAACACCGGUGGCGAAAGCGGCUCUCUGGUCUGUAACUGACGCUGAGGCUCGAAAGCGUGGGGAGCGAACAGGAUUAGAUACCCUGGUAGUCCACGCCGUAAACGAUGAGUGCUAGGUGUUGGAUUCUUUCCGGGAUUCAGUGCCGCAGCUAACGC